AGUCAAAUUUAUACUGCAAGCGAGAUGCUGCCAGAAAACGGUAAUGUGAUUACAAGGAAAUUUACAUAUUUCAUGUGGCAAGAUAAUAUUUAUCUGUUUCUUGUCCAUUUUCAUUGUAAAUGAAAGCACUUCUGACAAGAUGUAAAUAUGACUGAUUGUGGUGAUCCAAUUAGACGCUAACAAUGCUCUAUAUAGCCCCCACUGUUCCUAUAAAAUUACCGCAAAGACAUCCGAUGCUUUCCGAAUAUCACAAGGGAGAGGGGGCUUCAAGAAUUGAUCAGGAAUUGCUAACAAACUAAACGAUUACCGCCGAUUACAGUUUGUCGCUAGAGAAGUACUAAUACGGAAGGAGCCAUCAGUAUCGACUGGGGCGUCAUCGGAGGAUGUUUACGGGCACAUGAUAUUUAAUCUUUUGUUUCCUAAUUUUCGCGUUAUGGUUUUAAUGUUUGGAUAACAGGCGCCGAGUAACAUUUUCCUAGUUGACAUGAUGUAUCUAGAGUACGAUAAAUGUCCCGAAAGAACCAUCAAAAAGACAAGGGUUGCGUAUGUAAUAAUUUCCUCAGCAUGUACUGAAUAUGUCAGAAAGUUCGACGAGUGGAACAGGUCCAUCUUAGUCACUUGAACUCUUGUAUUCUGACGAGCAAACUACCUAAAAUUAUCCUCCAGACGCUGUAAAGUUGUGUUUGCUGGCUGUCAUGAUGGUGUCAUUGAGCAAAAGGUUUCUGCGAACCCGUUAAUGCGGAGAAAUCCUGACACAUCCAGGCCUUGUUACACGGCUCCCCGUCCACGUGGGUCGACAGGGGAAGUCUAGGCAGAGACAAGAAUUCCUACACAUGCGGAACUGCUUCCAGCUUUACGUGAACUAUCACUGUGCAAACGAGCAGGUGCCCGGCCAAAAACACUUCAUUGUUCCAAACAUUUAAAUUAUUUGAAAAAGAGUGAAAAUGAUUUAUUGUGUAACGUUUCUAUAAAUUCUACAGUAUUCGAUCUGAUGUUUCACAGAACUAUAAAACAUAGCGAGAUCCUUUCUCUCCAGAAUUGAAUCUUGUUUUUAUCCUCGUUAGCAUGUUUGGUUUUUUCGGUAUUCUUGUAAUCUUCGACAGCUUCUGUUGUGAUUUCUAUUUGUGUCGCUUAUUUGACCAUCUAAAAAACAUCUUUUGUUAAUUUUCCCAGGACACUUUAUGACAACGAGACUUUUAUUUUUGUAAAUAAAAGAAACCCUUUGUUGAUUAAAUUCACAGUUUUUUGGGGAAAUUUUAUUAAAAACAAAGAUAUUUCUUACACAUUGAAACUGAUUAUGGUAGAGCUUUUAAGUUUUGUUCUCGCAUUGUUAUUAAUACAGUUUUUACUACUGUGUCAUAUAAAUGUUGUUAGUUAUUUGUUUUAAUUGGUUUAUUUUUUAUUAUUUAGAAAUAAAACUCGUGCCAGCAC
rnacentral:sRNA from 1 species